AUAGUUCUUCGGGGUAGGGUGUAAUUCCCAACCGGCGGUAUAGUCCGCGACCUACUUAUCUUUUGUGAUGAGUGGCUGAUUUGGUGAGAUUCCAAAACCGACAGUAAAGUCUGGAUGAGAGAAGAAUGCA
rnacentral:ncRNA from 2 species